GUUGACAGCCAUACCACCAUAAACAUGUCCAAUCUCCUCUUAUCUCUGGAAUCUAAGCAAGGUUGGGCCCGGUUAGUACUUGGAUGGGAGACCACCCAGGAAUACUGGGUGCUAUAGGCU
rnacentral:rRNA from 1 species